UACAGAGACUGCAAGCGUUACUCGGAUUCACUGGGCGUAAAGGGAGCGCAGGCGGACCGGUGUGUCAGAUGUGAAACCCCAGGGCUCAACCUUGGGACUGCGUCUGAAACUGCCGGUCUAGGGACUCGGAGGGGCUAGUGGAAUUCCUGGUGGAGCAGUGAAAUGCGUAGAUAUCAGGAGGAACACCGACGGCGAAGGCAGCUAGCUGGACGAGAUCCGACGCUCAGGCUCGAAAGUAUGGGGAGCAAAAAGG
rnacentral:rRNA from 1 species